GUCACUGCGCCGAUACUGUCCACGACUUAAUAUAGUCGUGUUUAUUUCGCGCGGUUUAAUCCACCGCCAGUUAUUAUUGAUAUGACAGAAUCGUGGUGCGAACGAAUGAUAAUAUGUAUAUGCAAAGAUGCGGAGAUGAUUGAUCAAAGUAUAGCAGCCGGGUUCGGUACGGUUUGCUGUUGGAUCCGCGGCAGUGCUUGCGUCUAACUUUUAAGCUUGCCAAAGAUCAAGCGGCGCGGCAUCAUCAGCGGCUAAAUAAUCGCUGGUGUUAUAUACUAUGUAUUUAAAAACGUCUGUGCAGCUGAGGUAUUCGUCUGUACAGCAUCGCGAGUGCGUCACUUAAGCGGAAAUUUGAAAAUAGAGUGCCUAAUUCUUGAAAUCUGGGUCAAUUUGGUAGUCUAGUUAAUAGCUUGAAAUGUCAGAUUGGCGUUACACUGGAUCGCGAAAAUAGAUUUUUCUUUAUUUUUGAAUAUAUUCAUUCAACCUACCUCACGGUCUACCGAAUAUGAAUUAUUGUAGUCAACAACUUACCCAGAUUGUACGCAAAAAAAAAACUUUGCUAUUAUAGAACAAACAAGAACAUUAUACAACUCGAAUUUCAAUUCCAUAUUCUGUACGAACGAGUUCAUCAUUUCUGCGUCCCAGAUGGAACGUACAAAUUUUCCAAAGAUGUUUUGUCAUUUGUUAGACGGUCUCGUUACGCUGAACAAAAGGUUCGAUAUUAUAAUUAUAUGCAGGUGUCUCCGGUCCUGUCUCUCUUCAAUACACAUCCGUUCUAAAAAACCCGUCGGGCAUCGCGGUCACCUUGUUCAAUUUCCACGAGCUAUCAAUUUCACGGUUACACGGCUAUUCCUUGAAUAUAGUAUUUGAGAACGUAUAGGUAAAUACUCGGUUUUUCAGUUUCAGUUCUUUAGCCCCGAGGUAUACACCACAUGGGGUUACGCGGUGUUCCCUCCCAAAUCACGCAUGGAUAAAUAUCUUAAUUGAGGAUUUCGUUGGAAUAAAAAAUUUGUAUCUGGAAAAAAAAUGUAUGUUCCUUAAUGACAAAGUCUAAUUAUUAGUUAUCGUACUGCGUAAAGCCAAAAUUUUGAUUAACCGUGACGUAAAUGUAUUUUAUCUGGGUUAAAGUGGGCUUUUUUCUCUCUCUACUUACAUCAACAUUAUCAGCCGUAUAUCAACCUGGUUGUGAAAAAAAAACACCCACAAAAUCACACCAACUCGUUUUUGACCUUGUACCGAUAAUAUAUUUGAGUAAGGUCAUUGCCAACAUGAAGCUUUUACGAUUGAUUGCGACUAUUAUCUGAGGUGAGGAAUAAUGACGAAGAUAUCGUUUCUUAGAAUUCGAGAUAAUUAUCAGUUUUUUCUUCAAUGCUGGAUAGUCAUGUUUUUUAAAUUGCAAACUCGCAAAUAUAACACUCCAUUAUAUAGCAGCUGCGAUAAAACGAUAAUUUAAAAACUGAAUGCCGAGAAUAGUUCUGAAAAUAACACGUUUGGGUAAAUAUUGAACGAGAAAUUCCGAUCGUUGAUUUUUAGAACGUAUCGAUGAUAGCUGUACGAAUAAUUAUUUUCAAAUACUUUAUCAUACACGCAUGCUCCAAACUGGUUAUAGACGAAUGCAAAAAUCGAGGAUUCUCGUCGUAUAUCAUUCAAUUGAGUAUGCGGUUGAUAACCUAGAUACAUGGGAAAAUUGAUAUAUCAUAUACUUGUGAAUAUUUGUAAGUAAUUCGCGACGUUUUCGACCGUCUUAUUUUAUGUAAUAUUGCGAGAAGGAUAUUCGGUGAUUACCGUUUACUCGAUUUUAUCCUUCGGUUGAGCGUACAAGUUCGAUACGUAUCCAUCGUUUGAACCCUUUCAUAUCUUUUUCCAUUUCUUCAAUCGUGUCCAAUAGAUGCGCCAUGGUUUUAAUACCAUGAUUGUGCAACUGCGGUAUACCUGAUAUUAUUCUUCUCCUAAUCAACGAGACGUUUCGUUAUACCGGGUGUUACAGAGAAUGAUGAAUCGACGUACCGCGUAUGAUUUAGUACGUGACGAGUUUGAAAUCGUGUCGAAUGAGCUCGAAGAAGGAUUAAGUAUGGAGCUGUGAGCAAAAAGAAAAAAAAAACGAAAGAAUCGAAGAGAAUAAUGAAAAAAUAAAACAAGAGAGGAAUCGAAACGUAAGAAAAAAGUUGGUAGGAAAUGAAUUUGAAUAGAAACAGAAAAGAAAUAGAGAGAAAGAGACGGAAAAUGAGCGGUAGCUAAUGACGUUACGACUUAAGUCUCGAAAUGAGAUUUUAACUUCCAAAUUCUCGGUACGUUACGUUCCAGAAAUUCCAACUUGUUUGGCCGCUUCAACGCCCGUCUGUAACAGCAGCAGCAACAGCAGCGGCAAGUUGCUUCCAGUUUCUCUCUGGUAAUUGAAAUCUCACGAGGGGCAAAGAAAUAAUGGCCAUGAUUCGCGGAACCCAAAGGAGAAUAACUCGGGAACGGAAGACGCUUUUGCCGAGCCCCUAUACAUGUAUAUACCGAUGUUGGGAUGCUGAUUUUAAUGCCGAUGCUGCUGAUACUGACGCCUCAUAUACUAUACCUCGCCUCCAAUUAUUCUCUCUUUUCGCCAAUUUUACUGCCGCAAAAUCCCCCGCUCGCCCUUCGCUCCGACAAUUUUUGAACUUUCAAGGCCUCGGGUGAUUCUCUGAAUGAAGAGCCCCAUAUUUUUCUGCCACGCCAAUUUUUUAACCAUCGAUCCUCGCGAUAACCACCGGCACCGUGUUAUUAUAAGUAAUACCUUAUUACCGCUGUACGGUGAUGCACGUGCGUGAGAUGUUCGUGAAUAAUUUCAUGAAGCGAUGCGCGAGUCGUUUUACGAUUUAUGCAAAAGAUUUCUCAGAUCUCGUUCUGUUUCGUCGAGUCAUUUCUCCUUCUCGCUUGGGAAAUUCUUCGAUUCGAGUAGAAGAAAUGUCAGUUUUCACGCAGCUAAUUGGGAGGGGUGAUCAACUUUCGAACCCCGUUAAUCUCCAAACUUCGAACAAUCGAAUCAUUCGAAGGAUGUUCGUCGUUUUCGUUGCUCUGGGAGAUUGAAGAAGUCUCAAAGAGUCGAUAACAUCCGAACGAAAAUAAUCGCCGUUCAAAAUUUAUCCGAUAUUAACAUAAUUAGUUCCGUAUCGAAUUUAAUCAUGACCCACAAUCGUAAGAGACACGUGCGUGCCGAAUGAGGAUUGUAAAGAAGAGUGAAUAAAUUAUCGCAGUUUAACGCAAGUUCACGGGUGUUCGUGUUACAAAAAUUCGAAGGAAUAAUCAACAGUCGACCUUACUUUUUAUAUUUGAAACCUUGUAUUUGCGGUUGCAUAGCAGCGUCCUUCUGUUAAAGUAAUUAUCAAGCGGAAUAACGAAGAAAUCUCGAAAUAGGUGUAGUAAGAAUUUGUCAUCUGUACAUGACAGACUUAUCGUGAGUGUGAAUGUUGUGGAACAACCAGAGGGUAAAAAAGGAAUGACAAAUCGGUAACAUCGUCAAUUCUGUAAUUUUUAAUAGCGCUCAUUAAUUUUCGCGCUCUACCCUGGAGGUAUGGUAAUUUUAUUUAAGGGUGCUGAAUUGCGAGCCUCUUUAGCUCAGUGGUAGAGCACUGGUCUCGUAAACCAGGGGUCGUGAGUUCAAACCUCACAGGAGGCAGAGGGAUGCUAUUUUGCGGAUUAUAUCCUUGUCCGCAUGGCCCAAAAUGGUGGCAUCCCGCCUUUCAUCGCCAUCAGAAGUUUCCUGGAAUAGGAGGGAAGACUAACAAUGAGAUGAAGAGGGUAUGAACAAAGUGGAUUCAAAAUUUGUGUAUUUUUUUCUUCUAUUUGAAUCACCUUCGUGCGAUACGCCCUUAUUCCAGGAAGUCGACUGUAAGUCCAGACAGCGAGGGCUACGCCCUGCUCGUUUUACAUACAUAUAGUAUAGUAUACGGUGUGGUGGAGAUGACGGGUAAUUGUUAAUUUCACCGAAGAUUCUUUGCGAUACGGUUUUAAACGGAAUUAUCCACUUAUAAUAUCGCCGUGAGCUGCGCUAAGCUGGGGCCGGCGAAGGUUCAAUUCCCGCAAGUCGUUACCCCGAUGAGCACACGUCUUAUAUACAUACAGGUAUAAUACAGCGAUAGCAGCUUUAACGAGUUUUAAAGAAACACCGAUUGUUACGGGAAAGAGCUGAGCCGCUAAAGGGCGAGAUCGUAUAAUCAGAAAAUCGAUGUUAUUACAGACCAACAAACGGUCGAAUGGAAAAUAUCAGCCAUCUCCAUUUACAAAUCGUUGAGGAAGACGCACCGAUACCACAAAAUAAAAUCAAAGGAUCGCGAAGGAUAAGGAUCAAUUUACUCAAAAGGAUACAUUCCUUUUCUUCGCACGAUCUAGAUAUCAUCGACUUCAAAACUGACAAAACUGAGAUAUCUCGAUAGGAUUUUAUCGUGGCUCACAAUUAGUUUGAUUGACGGAUCCGUGUUUCUGAGGUCAAACUAUCGUUUUUAAAAAUAUUUGAUUUUUGACCCAAAAAUCACAAUCGAUAUUUCCGUGAUAACUCAAGACAUUUUUAUAAAAUAUAGGGGGUUGCAAAGGAUUGAUAUAUUAAUUGGUUCAGGGUACCUGAUUGCAGAUAAUCCGCUUGGACUGGGGAUGAUCCGAAUUCGAUGCUAUUAUUAAGCGCUAGUAAAGGAAGAAAUCAGGAUGAUGUCAGAUUAAUUUUCGGCCUCGAAGAUCGCAAAGAUUCAAAGACUUUCAAAUCGAUGAUCCAUCCGUCGGUUUCCCGAGAAUAGUCCAAAGAUUUUUUUUCCCCAUUGUACGUAUAAAUAUAUAUAAAAUAUAUUAUUUCCCACAAUGUCCCUCAGCUGGGUGGUCGACCGCAUCCGUUUUCUCAGGAAUUAUAUAGCUAUAAGUAUUGAGGGAUUCAACUGUCCGCAGUAAACUACCGACCGCAAAACCAAUCUCAACUUGAACUUGUCCCGAACAAGGAAUAACCGAGGAUAAUAAUGAUAAGUUCAUCUCAUACUUCUGCAUAUACCCGCCCAGAAAAAGUAUGGAUAAAAGUCUAUAGAAAAGAGAUAUUUCCAAUUCCUUAAACGUACGUCACCAAAUUUCGAAAGCGCGAGAAAAAUUGACAAGCUCGCGAGACAUAAGAAAAAAAAAAAAAAAAAAAGACGAAGCCACGUGGUGCCUCUCUUAUAAUAUAUUCACCUCGUCUGAAUCUAUACAAUAAUAAUAGUUAUCUCCGAAUCCUCUAUAGGUAAGGGAAUUAGAGAGCACGCGCACGGAUGUAAUGUGACUUGCUUCCAAGAAGGUACACAUUCUAUAAAUAGUUGUAACAGGAUCAGAGUAACGCUUUAAUUACCUGGAAAUUGAUGGCAACUACAAAAUUCGAGAGACACGAACG